rnacentral:rRNA from 1 species
UGGGGAAUAUUGCACAAUGGGCGCAAGCCUGAUGCAGCAACGCCGCGUGAGGGAAGACGGUCUUCGGAUUGUAAACCUUUGUCUUUGGUGAAGAAGAUAAUGACGGUACUCAACAAGGAAGUGACGGCUAACUACGUGCCAGCAGCCGCGGUAAAACGUAGGUCACAAGCGUUGUCCGGAAUUACUGGGUGUAAAGGGAGCGCAGGCGGGAAGACAAGUUGGAAGUGAAAUCCAUGGGCUCAACCCAUGAACUGCUUUCAAAACUGUUUUUCUUGAGUAGUGCAGAGGUAGGCGGAAUUCCCGGUGUAGCGGUGGAAUGCGUAGAUAUCGGGAGGAACACCAGUGGCGAAGGCGGCCUACUGGGCACCAACUGACGCUGAGGCUCGAAAGUGUGGGUAGCAAACAGGAUUAGAUACCCUGGUAGU